rnacentral:rRNA from 1 species
UUAAACUAAGAAUAUAUAGGGUAGAGUUUUAUAUUCAAAAAUUAAUAUAAGAUGAAGAUAUAAAUAAAUAUUUAUAAAUUAGACUUUUUAGUGGCCAUAUUAUUAAAGUAUUUUAACUAUUAAAAUAAAAAAAGUUUUAUUUUUAUUCUCUUUUUUUUAGUAGAAUAUAUUUUAUAUCAAAAAUAAAUUAGAAAUAAUGAAAAUAUUAGUAGAAAAAAAAUAUUAUUUGUAUAAAUAUAAAUUAAUAAAUAAAAUUUAAUAGAAGGGAAAGAAAAAUUAAAGGAACUCGGCAAUUUUUUUUUCUUGCCUGUUUAACAAAAACAUGUCUGUAUGAAGUUAUAUAAAGUCUGGCCUGCCCAUUGAAUAAAUUUAAAAGGCCGCGGUAUAUUAACUGUGCAAAGGUAGCAUAAUCAUUAGCUUUUUAAUUGAAGGCUUGUAUGAAUGGUUGGACAAAGUAAAGGCUGUCUUUAAUUUUAUUUUUUGAAUUUAACUUUUAAGUGAAAAGGCUUAAAUGAAUUUAAGGGACGAUAAGACCCUAUAAAUCUUUAUAUUAAAUUGUUAUUUUGAAAUUUAAUGGUUUGUUUAAAUAAAUAAGAAAACAAAAAAUAUUUUGUUGGGGUGAUGAGAAUAUAUAAAUAACUGUUCUUAUUUUAUACAAAGUUAUUUGUUUAGAUUAGUAGAUCCUUUAUUUAAGAUUAAAAGUUUAAGUUACUUUAGGGAUAACAGCGUUAUUUUUUUUGAGAGUUCUUAUCGAAAAAAAAGUUUGCGACCUCGAUGUUGAAUUAAAAUUUCUCUACGGUGUAGAAGUUGUAGAAGAGAGUCUGUUCGACUUUUGAAGUUUU